UCAGGACGAACGCUGGCGGCGUGCCUAAUACAUGCAAGUCGAACGGUCUUUCUAUGGAAGCUUGCUUCCACUGAGAAGAUAGUGGCGAACGGGUGAGUAACACGUGGGUAACCUGCCCAUAAGAGGGGGAUAACAUCCGGAAACGGGUGCUAAUACCGCAUAGUUUUCUUGAUCGCAUGAUCGGGAAAGGAAAGACGGCCUUUGUGCUGUCGCUUAUGGAUGGACCCGCGGCGUAUUAGUUAGUUGGUGAGGUAACGGCUCACCAAGACGAUGGUACGUAGCCGACCUGAGAGGGUGAUCGGCCACAUUGGGACUGAGACACGGCCCAAACUCCUACGGGAGGCAGCAGUAGGGAAUCUUCCGCAAUGGACGAAAGUCUGACGGAGCAACGCCGCGUGAGUGAAGAAAGGUUUUCGGAUCGUAAAACUCUGUUGCCAGAGAAGAACAAGUUGGAGAGUAACUGCUCCAGCCUUGACGGUAUCUGACCAGAAAGCCACGGCUAACUACGUGCCAGCAGCCGC
rnacentral:rRNA from 1 species